UCCAGACUCCUACGGGAGGCAGCAGUGGGGGAUAUUGCACAAUGGGGGAAACCCUGAUGCAGCGACGCCGCGUGAGUGAAGAAGUAUUUCGGUAUGUAAAGCUCUAUCAGCAGGGAAGAAAAAAGACGGUACCUGACUAAGAAGCCCCGGCUAGCUACGUGCCAGCAGCCGCGGUAAUACGUAGGGGGCAAGCGUUAUCCGGAUUUACUGGGUGUAAAGGGAGCGUAGACGGCAAUACAAGUCGGAAGUGAAAUACCCGGGCUCAACCUGGGAACUGCUUUGGAAACUGUAUGGCUGGAGUGCUGGAGAGGUAAGCGGAAUUCCUAGUGUAGCGGUGAAAUGCGUAGAUAUUAGGAGGAACACCAGUGGCGAAGGCGGCUUACUGGACAGUAACUGACGUUGAGGCUCGAAAGCGUGGGGAGCAAACAGGAUUAGAUACCCCUGUA
rnacentral:rRNA from 1 species